GGGGUUGUGGCUCAGUGGUAGAGCACUCACCUAGCAUGUGUGAGGCACUGAGUUCAAUCCACAGCACCACA
rnacentral:tRNA from 1 species